rnacentral:rRNA from 1 species
GUGCUGUGUCAGCCGCCGCGGUAAUACGUAGGGUGCAAGCGUUAAUCGGAAUUACUGGGCGUAAAGCGUGCGCAGGCGGUUUGCUAAGACCGAUGUGAAAUCCCCGGGCUCAACCUGGGAACUGCAUUGGUGACUGGCAGGCUAGAGUAUGGCAGAGGGGGGUAGAAUUCCACGUGUAGCAGUGAAAUGCGUGGAGAUGUGGAGGAAUACCGAUGGCGAAGGCAGCCCCCUGGGCCAAUACUGACACUCAGAUGCGAAAGCGUGGGGAGCAAACAGGAUUAGAAACCCCCGUAGUCC